rnacentral:rRNA from 1 species
GACGAACGCUGGCGGCGUGCCUAACACAUGCAAGUCGAGCGGGGAGGAGGAAGCUUGCUUCCGAAUCCUAGCGGCGGACGGGUGAGUAACGCGUGAGCAACCUGCCUUGAACUGGGGGAUAACGCAUCGAAAGAUGUGCUAAUACCGCGUAAGACCACAGUACCGCAUGGUACAGGGGUCAAAGGAGCAAUCCGGUUUAAGAUGGGCUCGCGUCCGAUUAGCUAGUUGGUGAGAUAACAGCCCACCAAGGCGACGAUCAGUAGCCGGUCUGAGAGGAUGAACGGCCACAUUGGGACUGAGAUACGGCCCAGACUCCUACGGGAGGCAGCAGUGGGGAAUAUUGGGCAAUGGGGGAAACCCUGACCCAGCAACGCCGCGUGAAGGAAGAAGGCCUUCGGGUUGUAAACUUCUUUUACCAGGGACGAAGAACGUGACGGUACCUGGAGAAAAAGCAACGGCUAACUACGUG